GGUGACCAGCGGAGGGAUCAUUAAAGAGUUCUAUAACUCCCAAACCCAUGUGAACAUACCUAACGUUGCCUCGGCAGGUCGCACCUACCUUGUAGCACCCUACCCUGUAGGGCCUACCCGGGAGGUGCGGGUAAGCCUGCCGGCGGCCCACCAAACUCUGUUUGAUAUUGAAUUCUGAACCUAUAACUAAAUAAGUUAAAACUUUCAACAACGGAUCUCUUGGUUCUGGCAUCGAUGAAGAACGCAGCGAAAUGCGAUAAGUAAUGUGAAUUGCAGAAUUCAGUGAAUCAUCGAAUCUUUGAACGCAUAUUGCGCCCAUUAGUAUUCUAGUGGGCAGGACCGUUCGAGCGUCAUUUCAACCCUUAAGCCUUCGUUGCUUAGUGUUGGGAGCCUACGGCAACGUAGCUCCUCAAAGUUAGUGGCGGAGUUGGUUCACACUCUAGACGUAGUAAUUUUUUAUCUCGCCUAUUAGUUGGACUAAUCCCCUGCCGUAAAACCCCUAAUUUAUCAAGGUUGACCUCGAAUCGGUUCAGACAAACUCGCUAAAUUGAAGCAUCUUAGUCAGCGAAGGAAAAG
rnacentral:rRNA from 1 species